rnacentral:rRNA from 1 species
GAUGAACGCUGGCGGCGUGCCUAAUACAUGCAAGUCGAGCGAACAGACGAGAAGCUUGCUUCUCUGAUGUUAGCGGCGGACGGGUGAGUAACACGUGGAUAACCUACCUAUAAGACUGGGAUAACUUCGGGAAACCGGAGCUAAUACCGGAUAAUAUAUUGAACCGCAUGGUUCAAUAGUGAAAGACGGUUUUGCUGUCACUUAUAGAUGGAUCCGCGCUGCAUUAGCUAGUUGGUAAGGUAACGGCUUACCAAGGCAACGAUGCGUAGCCGACCUGAGAGGGUGAUCGGCCACACUGGAACUGAGACACGGUCCAGACUCCUACGGGAGGCAGCAGUAGGGAAUCUUCCGCAAUGGGCGAAAGCCUGACGGAGCAACGCCGCGUGAGUGAUGAAGGUCUUCGGAUCGUAAAACUCUGUUAUUAGGGAAGAACAAAUGUGUAAGUAACUGUGCACAUCUUGACGGUACCUAAUCAGAAAGCCACGGCUAACUACGUG